rnacentral:rRNA from 1 species
CCUACGGGAGGCUGCAGUGAGGAAUAUUGGUCAAUGGGCGGGAGCCUGAACCAGCCAAGCCGCGUGAGGGAAGAAGGUACAGCGUAUCGUAAACCUCUUUUGUCAGGGGACAAAGGCGGGGACUCGUCCCCGGCUGAGGGUACCUGAAGAAAAAGCAUCGGCUAACUCCGUGCCAGCAGCCGCGGUAAUACGGAGGAUGCGAGCGUUAUCCGGAUUUAUUGGGUUUAAAGGGUGCGCAGGCGGCCGGUUAAGUCAGCGGUAAAAGCCCGGGGCUCAACCCCGGAGUGCCGGUGAAACGGGGGGGCUGGAGAGGGAGAGAAGUAGGCGGAAUGUGUGGUGUAGCGGUGAGAUGCUUAGAUAUC